GUGACAGCGGCUGAGGACUUGGCUAUAGCCAUGGGCGUGGUGACGGAGCGGGCGAGGCAGGUGUGUCAUGGCCUGUGCACAGAUCUCGGGCUAAAUCAGGGGCUGCAGGGUGAGGAAUGGGCUGUGAUUGUUCUCAGAACACAGGAACUAGGGCGUGUGGGGACAGACGGGGCCAGAUCUAUCACUUAUGGCUGGGGACAUCAUGUGCCUAGUUCUAGCUGGUCAUGCAAGAGGGGAGCUGCACCCAGCUGGAGUGUAAGGAGCACGUCUCCUUUGGGCUUCGUGGGCCGGGAGCUGGGAGGCCACAGCUGUCCGCUCAGUCUUGAGGGAGACAAAGAGAGGCCCCAGUUUCACUCCAGCUCAGCCACCCGUGGAAUUGUAUUGAUAAAGCAAGGCGCUUCGAGAUCUGUGAAUACUGGACAGGGUCGUGUGAGUGACAGAGACACCAGGAGCGCUUGGUGAGAGACCCUGGAAACUUCUACCUACUUACCUCUUCAGUCUCACUGACUAAAAACAAGGACCAGGAAGUGGUGUUAUGGUUUAUAUGGGGGGGGGGAGUGCGCAUGCGUGUGUCCAUCCAAAGCCUCGUGUGCUCAAAAGUGGGGCACUCUGUGACUGCAUUUUGGGUAUGAGAACACAGCUGACUGCGUGAGGAGGCGGGGUCUGGUCAGAAGAGGUGGCCGCUGGGGGCGUUCCCCGGAAGGGCACAGCCCCUCCCAGACUGCUCCCUCUCUGGGCUCUGCUGUCCCCCUCUGCCACAGGGUGAGCACCUUUUCCUCUGCUCCGCCAGCCAGAGAGCCGUGGAGCUGGUGCACUGCAGACUAAAACUUUUACCAACUGUGAGCGAAAAUCAACUUGUCCUCCUCUGAGAGCUGUGGGUGUCAGGUUUUGUGUCCCAGCAAUGAGGGACGUAACUGAGACACACACAAAUAUUAGCUUCUUCCUGGAAAAUAAAUGCUUAGUAAGGGUGCCAUGCCUUUGGGCUGUGGGCUCCAGGGAGCCUGUAGAACUCCAGGAUGGUGAACAAAUGUCAUCUGGAAGCUGACAUCGAGGGAUCUAGCAUUCACAACACCGGCAGCUGACAGUUCUUUUGUUUCUUGCAGAGUGAAAUCCUCUAUACUGAUACAGAGCUUGUAAAAGACAGUGAGUAUAAAUAUACUGCCACCAGUGUUAAGAUUCAUUUACUAGAAGGGAUGAGGGAUCAGACCCUGAUAAAAGGUCAUUAUAAAUACUCCACCCAAAUGAAAUUCUUGUGGCCUGAUGACUUUUGAAAAUAAACUGCCAGAUGAGAUAUAAUUCUAUCUCCUUGCUAUAGUGGAUUAGCUGAUGUGGGUGAAGCUCUUGAGGAGCUUCUGCAGACAGCGAGACAGCGUCAUCAGGGUUACUGUCCUGCUGCGUAUUCUCUCUGGAGCUGCUGAACCAACUUGUUUAAGGCCUGGCUGGCCGAGUUCUGCAUCUCUGCUUCCAGAACCCAGGAGCAGCGCUCUGGAUCAGACUGGUUCCUCAGCUGCUUCCUAGAGAAUAUUGGCAGGGUUUUGGUGCCGAAGGAAGAGACAGAGACUGGGAAGGAGUUGAAAAUCAGAAGAAAAAAAAAUGGGCCCAGAAAGAAGGUAAGGAGGCAAAGGUAAUAACCCAUCUCAGUUCUUUGUGUCUGCUAAGAACUUGUCAAGAUAUUGUAUUGUUUAGAGGAGCAAAAAAGAAAGUGUAACUUAUUACAGAAAGCAGAUCUUGAAGUUCUCACUAUAAACAGUUCUUAAGAAGCCAAUCUUAGGUGAGACCAGGAGGAAAAGGUAUCCUUAAGAGAAAAAGGAUAUUACUACAUGGAAUAGGUCAUUAUUAUAAAAAUGCCGAAGUCUUCCUCCACCCAGACCCUUCCAACCCUGCAGUUUCUGCAUUUGAGCCAGGCGUGUGCUGAAACCAUGAGCCAAGAUAACCCUUUCUCCUUUAAAAUGCAAGUGUCAGAUAUUUUGCCCCAGCAGUGAUAGUGACUAAGACAGGUAUAAACUCCGUGGAGACAUCAAUCACAUCUUACUUACAUUUUAAUAUCUGGUACCCAAGUAAAAAUCCUUGUGGAUUAUAUUAGUAAAGGAACAAAGGAAAUUGCUAAGACCAGUAUUCUGUUCACCUCUAAAUAUCAAACAUCACUCGAGAUCUUCCAAGCCACAUAGACAGGAUAGAAAAUUCUGAAGGUCUGUGUCAUACUUCACCUAACAAAACAAGAAUUCUUGGAGGGCAGGGGACACCCAUGUAAGAGGUUUCACCUGCUGUUAAUACAGGGCCCCAGGGCUUCCAACCUGACGUCUUUUCCUUUGGGUGAAAACAGACACCUGCUUCCCUGACACCGUAGGAGACUGUUGCAAAAGCCCAUUUUUUGUCGUGGUUCUUCCUCCAGGUAACUGGCCUAGAAUUUCAUAGCAACUCAGCCUCAAGUUCUUCUCAAAUAGACCAAAGUACCAGGAAACACAAACGUGGGCCAUAUUCCUGGGUGAUAAAUACCUGGUUAUGAGGACUUGGGUUUUCAUGGGGGCAUUCGCUUUCAGAGUGGUUUGGUCCCUAAAGAACUCAACUCAGGCUUUGUUAUUAUUGAGAUCGAGGGAGGGCAGCACCCCACCUUCUCUUGAAGAUUUAAGUGGAUUUAAGAAGUUGUUUCUGUUCUUGGUAAAGCCCAAAUCACCUGUAAGAGGAGGGCAUCAUGGGCUCUUGGAGCUAAAUAAUUUCCCUAAACUUGGACUCAAAUUGUUCUGUGAGAAGUGUGUUCACUUUUGAGGGUCAGCAGAAGGCAUAAAGCUGGAAGCCAUAAUGGGGACUCUAUUAGAGAGAGACAACCGUGAACCUGUGGAAUUGUCACGAAUGGAAAGUUCUGGAAAAUUAGGUAGGCUGGCAAGGGAAGAUGAAAUGAUCAGAGGGAGAAAGAUCCCUGUGGGUGGAUGGAGGUAAGACCUAAGAAGUUAAAGAGAGAUACCUUCAAAAUUCAUAAUCAAAAUACAUCUUGGCAGCCCAGUGUGGGGGUGCACACUGCAAUCCCAGCAUUCCACCGGCCGAGGCAGAAGGAUCACCACAAAGCUCCAGACCAGCCUGGGCUGCUGAGUGAGUUCAAUUUAUUUAUAUAUUCAAUAGAUAAAUAAAUAAUAAACAAACAACAAGAAUUCAUGGUGGUGGCCCUGAGCAUGAAGAAUUACCCAUAGACUUGUCCCUAAAAUUGUAUAAUUUGAGGCCUAAUUGAUUUUGAAUUCUCUCUCUCUCUCUCUCUCUCUCUCUCUCUCUCUCUCUCUCUGGCUGUCUCUCUCUCUCUAGUUUAUAAUCUAACUGUGAAAUAUUUUAAAGCUAGCUGAACUUGAAGCCCAGCUGAGUGUGAGGAGAACGACUGUGCCCAGAUCGCAGUGAGAAGUGGUCUGAAGCCGUUCAGUAAUUCCCAUCUAUAGCAAUAUGUGAGAGGGGCGGAAGACAGUCAAAGCUCCACACACCUGGACGCCCCAGUGCAGAGAGCUGGGGAACCCACAGUUAGUGAAAGGGGACACAGGGGAUGCUGACUCCCUCCUCGGGCACAGCCUAACUGCGCGCCCGUGUGUGCCCAGCGAGGAGAGGCCCUAGCCUUCGCAGAGUCCUGCUGCUCGGGUGCUCAUAAUCUGGCUGACUGCAAAAAGGGAGCCCCAGACUGGUUUUCUCCAGGAUGUAGACCUGACGCAUGCGCUUUGCUGACAGGUGCACUACCAGGACCCACAACGAGCGAGCUUGUUCCCUGGCUGGCCGCAGGAAGCCCGUCUUGGGUCAGCUCCCAGCUCGCUUCUGUGCACCCUCACCGCGCUUCGUCUCACAGGGGCUCAGGCUCCUCGUGUGUCCCUUCCACAAGCUCUGGUUCCCUAGAGCAGCCCCUUCCCAGGCUCUGGGACCCAGCUUCUGUGCUAGCGCUGCCUUGCUCUGGCCCCUGGGCCGCGACACUCCUAGUGGCACUGCGUGUGUGCAGGUAUCCAACAAGUAGUGCGUCCCCACUGGCCCUUCUGUCAACACAUCACAAGCUUUUUUUAAAGGGGGAAAAACAAUAAAAGCAAUGAUAUAGAAUUUCAAAACAAGCUAAUGGAGGAUUAACAAUGGUUAAUGCAUUGCAUAUUGUUAUCUUCAAAGUAGCUGCGAGGCUGGGGAUAACUCAGGGGCAUAAGCUCUUGCCUGGCAAGUGCAAGGUCGUGAAUUCAAUCCCUGGUACUGCAAAAAGACCAAAAAAAAAAGUGGCUCAGAUUACAAGAUAUAGGCAUGAAAAACCGAUCAAACAAUGUAAGUACAAACCUUUCCUUUCAGUGAACUAAUAGAAGUUAGUGGUGUGAUUCUCUUAGCCAAUAUAUUUUUUUUCCUUCUUUUCUCCUUUCCCCCAUCCCAGUUUUUCUUUCCUUUUGAGAAGUUUCUUCUCCUUUCACCAAUAUCUGUUGUACAUUUUGGUUCUUAUUUAUUUUUUCAGUUUUUACACCAGGAAGACAAAUACAGUGUUUACACAUACAAGUCUGAUUUAUUUCAUUUAUGAGUAUGAUCCAUUUACCUAUAAAAGCCUUGAGUUUAUCCUUCUUUAUAGCGGAGUAGUACUCCAUUGCAUAAAAAUACGUCUUUUUUUUUUCCAUUCCUUAGUCGACAGGCAUUUUGGUUGUUUCCAUUCCAAGAUUUAGCUAUUAUAAAUUGCACUGCUAUAAACAUGAGUGCACAUAUCACACUGUGGUACAAUGUUUUUAAUUUUUCCAGCAAAAUACCCAGAAGGAGAAUAGCUGGGUCAAAUGGGUCUCUAAUCCCACACUGGUUUCCACAGUGGUUGUACCAGUUCACAUUCCCACCAACAGUGGAGACAUGUUCCUUUUUCCCCACAGCCCGCCAGCUACUGGUUGGUUUUUUUCUUUCUUUUUUUUUAAAAAUUGGUUGAUUUCUUGGUGAUAGCCAUUCUUUCAGGUUUGAAAUGGAAUCUCAGUGUUGUUUUAUUUUGUAUCUCUCAAAUGACUAGCGAUGUUGAACAUUUUUUCAUAUAUUUAUUUUCCAUUUGCAUUUUUCAUUUGAGAAGUGUGUGUUCAUCUCAGGUGCCCAUUUUUGGACUGAGCCUUCGAAUUUGGAGGAUGCUGAUUCUUUUUCAAUUUUUCGUCAUGUUCUAGAUAGAAGUCUUUUGUCUGAGAAAAAGUUGGUUAAAAUUUUUUUACAACUCUGUGGUUUUCUUUUCACUCUGUUCAUUUCUUUUGAUGUGAAAAACUUGUCAAUAAGAUGAGAUUCCAGUUGUUGAUUCUUUGAAGUACUUCAUGUGCACUUUGGGUUUUGUUCAUGAAUCUCUGCCUACCUCUAUGUCUUCAAGUUUUCUACCCACUUUGUUUUCCAGUAGAUUUAGUGUCUCUGUUUAGUAUUUAGAUCUUUGAUCCAUUUUGACUUUAGUUUAGUGCAUGGUGAUACAUAUGGGUCUAGUUUUAGUCUUUGGCAUGUGGAAAGCUAAUUUUUCCAGUACCAUUUAUUAAAGAAGCUAUCUUUCUUCCAGUGAACACAUCUGGCCUCUUUGUCAAAGAUAAGGUGACUGAGUGUGUUUGUAGUUGCAUCUGCAUCUUCUAAUCUGUUCCACUGAUCAUCAGGUCUGUUUUGUUUUGUUUGCCAUGCUGAUUUUAUUAUAGUAGCUUUGUAGUAUAAUUACCAGUCAGGAAUGGUGAUACCUCCUGCUUUGCCUUUGUUAGCCUGGAUUACCUUUGCUAUUCUAGGUCUCCUCCUCCAAAUGAAUUUUAGGUGUGUUUUCUCUAAAUCUGUGAGGUAUGUUAAUGGUAUUUGGUCAGGAUUGCAUCACAAGUUUUGAGAGCAGGGUCUGAGUCCUAUUCACUGCUCUCCUCCUAGGGCCGGAAAAGGUACUAAUAUAAAUGUAGUCUUUAGCCAGGUGUGGUGGACCACACCUGUAAUCCCAGAACUCUGGGAAACUGAGGCAGGAGGAUUACAAGGUUGAUUCUAACCUGGACAAAUUAUCAACCUAGUGAGUCUUUAUAUCAAUAUUUUUUUAAAAAUCCUGGGGAUGUAGCAAAGGUCCUGAACUCCUCCCUAGUACAAAAAUAAAUAGAUAUUUUAAAAUACAUGUAUUUUUAAGCUUCUAGUUUGAAAGAAUGAUUGCAAAAAUUCUCUCUCAGCAUCCUCCUAUGUUAGCAUCUUAUACCACCUGAUACUAUGUUGGAGUAAAUGUAUGAUCACUGAAACAGUGUGAUUUGCUAGCUUGCAGACCUUUGUUCAGUCUCACCAGUUCUCCUCCAAUGUCACCCUACUCUUAUAUAUGCUUAUACAACACAUGUACAAAUGCAUAGUAUGGACAAGAUAGGAAAUGAGACAAGGAACGAUGCAGCAGGGUGGGUUUAGACCACCAGCCUCAGUGCCCUUUCAGGAAGCAUUCGCAGGCUGCGCCCUCUGCUCCGGGGGCUGAGGAUCAAGCUCUCUGCACUCAUCUGACCUCCCUGGCGCUGGGCCUUCAGACCUAUGCACAUCCUUGAAGUCGGACACAAUUGUGUUGCAUCAGAAGCACAUUUAACUUGCCCAAGUUCUACCCUACGCCCUUAGCAGAAAGGAAAAUCAGCAUCUAAGUCAUGUUGGUAGGAGCUGGCCUGGCUCUGUUCAUGCACCAACCAGUCUCCAAUGUGUUUCUCUCAUACCUUCAAUUUUAUGAGCAGCCAAGAGGUUGUAAGGGGCAGGUGACUCCACACACUUUCACAUAUGGCAGAGGACGGCCUCCGUGGAAGGUGGGAUUCCACUGGUUCACACACUUGAGCCCCUGCAGACAGAUGAGCAAACAGGUUCUGAUCCGCUGGAAAGUCCGGAGGCCUGGAAGUCACCCAGAUUUAACAAGGCAGUCAUCAAACCCUGAGGCACAGGUGUCUUAGUCAACUUGGGCUGCAACAUAAAAUAGCAUAGGAGGUUGGCUUUAAAACAGUGAUUUAUUUUCCACUGUUUGAGAUUGGAAUCGUGAAGUUACCAGACAGUGUGGUUCUGAGGAAGGUUCCCUUCUUUGUAGGUGAGAUAUCACUCAGUGUGUCCUUGCAUGGUGAGGACAGAGGGAUGGGGAGAGAAAGAGGCACAGAGACAGACAGCUACCAAGUACUCUCGUCUGACAAGGACAGCUAUUCUAUCAGGUCACCUUUAUGAGCUCAUUUUUACCUUAAUCAUCUUCAGAAAAUCCCCAUCUCCAAACACAGUCAUAGUUUGGAGGUUCUACCUUGACUUUACAGCAAUGAUCACCCUCAACUGUUCUCAGUCCAUCCAGGGGCCAGGCUGUGGAGCUCAGAUGUCUCUGGUCUGCAUUGCUGCCAAGGUCCAAAAGCUGUCAACUUCCCACAGGUUUGAAGAAUGGUGCCAGGCCAAGAAUUUAUGCUCUUUGACUUUGUGUCAUCUUGUUUUGAAAUCCAAUAAUGCUUUUAUUCUUUGUUUUGAUUGGUUUGAAUGUUUUCUAUUAUUUUAUUUCAGUAGGUGCGAAGAUGUGAACAGCUGUUUUAAAGCGAACAAGAGACAUUAUGGUAGCCACUGUUGCUUCUCCUAUUGUCUGGUUUUGAAGGCUUGUGAUGCUUUUAUUCAUUUGUUUUCAUCGGUUCUAUACUAUUUUGUUUUGUUUGAAUUCAUGGUGAGAGAAGAUAUGGACCACUAUUUCGAAGAAAACAAGAGACAUUACGUCCACCAUCCACUCCAGAUGCUAUGACUGUGGUGCAGGAAACAGUGACAUUUCCCCACAAAGACAAUGGCAGUGCAUACGGAUUGCCUCGUGGGAAGUUAAUAUGGCAGACAUGUGCUAAUAGCAAUAAAAAUGUAAGAAGAGACAAUUGCAUGUCGAAAUGUUCUCCUCAUCUUCCACUACUCAGGCCAGCUGAGAAGCGCUUCAAAGGACCUCUCAACAAGCUUGACAUAUGUUCCUUGGAGCUAGAGAACAUUCUAGAACUGGUUUCUGACUCAUCUUUGGAGAAAUUCUGAAGAAGAGAGGCUAUACUUGGGGGCCUUUGCUGGCCAAAUGAAGAGACAGCUGCGAUGGAGGGAGGACAGGAACACUCAUCUCUAAGGUCCAGAUGUGAGUCCGGAGAAGGAGACCAGCCAGAAGGCAGUUUGGAAAUUGUCCAAGGGACCACUGGAAAUGAGCAGUGUGGGAUGAUGACCCCAGUAUUCCAGCACGGGAAAAAUGGAGAUGAAGUUCAGUGGGGCAGAGGGAGAACCAAGCGCCACAGGCUGAGAAAAUCCUAUAAACCUCCAACCAAGGAGGUAUCACAGAUGCCGGAAGCUGCAACCGAAGUCCCCAUGCAAGGAGAAAGCCAGAGAAAGGGACGAGGCAGCAUUGGGUCCUCAACUCAGACAGCUCACAUGGGCACCUCCAGGUGUGAAGGCGGUUCCCACCCACCACUCUCUUCUCACCAUCAGCCAGGCCUGGGCAGUGGGAAAAGGGAGGGAAAGUGUAAGGCCUGAGGGGAGAAGCAGGUCUCUGCAGGCCUCCCAAGCCCAGCAGAAAAGAGCAAAUGUUUGCUCAAGCACAGUUCAGAGCCCGAGAAAAGACUACAUGGACUCUUUAAUAUCUGAAAAGACCAGACUACUCCAUGAAUUUGAUAAGAGUUUAAUACCAAGUAGAGGAGAUGAUGUGUUUUCUUUUUGAAUUCUACAAAAUCCUGUCAUUGAAAACCAAAACAAAAAGUGACCUACCCAGAAAACCUCCUGGACUCAAGGAGGUCACUAAAAGAGUUGUAAGUAAGAGUUACAUAUGUGACACAUAUUAUACACACAGGGCCCCGCACUUAGAAGGUUCCAUGCUUGGCUUAAUACUCUGCUGCUACCAUCUUGAAAUUCUUAAUAAUUGCAAAUAAGAGGUUCCACUUUUAUUUUAAACCGAGCCCUGCAAAUUAUGUGGCUGGUCCUGGAUACAUGCAGAACAAGAACUUAGCUGUGUUCUGUUUGACUCCAAGAGAUUGAAUGGGAAAAAUCAGUAGGAGGUAGGAAAAAACAACAAACAGAUUUUAGAUCAACGUGAGGGAGAAAGUUUUAGAACUCAUGGCGGCCCAAAUUAGAGGAGACUGUAAGAAGAGGUGGAGUUUCUGAUCACCAGAACCUUACAGCGGAGGAAGUUCAACUUCUUAGUAGGAAACGUAGAGAUAGGAUUUCAGCUUUGCACUUUGGAGCCUCAAAAAUCCCUUGAGAACCUGGUAUUAUCUAAUUUUUUGAUUCAUGAAUUUCUUUCAAGACCUCUACUUCAUGAACUUAACCAGGAACUGAACUCUUAGCUACUAUGACAGGCCUGAGCAUUUUGAAGUCCAGACUAACACCCCUACUUAGUCAGAGCCUUGCUGACUUUCUGAGUUUCUGUCCUAAUAAUGAGCUGUUGUUCUUCCUGAAGAGACCAUUAUCACCAUUGCUCACUGUAUUUUUUUUUUGAUCAUUGUAAGUUGGAUCUUACUAUCAAUAGCACACUGUGGCUUCUUAUUUCUAAGAAAAAGAUUUUACAAAGUCCCCCCAAAUUGUACUGGGCUUAAAGCUACUUUCAUUAAUAUCAUUUUGACAAUGAAGCAUAAACAGAUCUGACAAAUAUGGAUUAAACACUAAAAA